AUUGAACGCUGGCGGCAGGCCUAACACAUGCAAGUCGAACGAGUGGCGGACGGGUGAGUAAUGUCUGGGAAACUGCCUGAUGGAGGGGGAUAACUACUGGAACCGGUAGCUAAUACCGCAUACCAUCGGAUGUGCCCAGAUGGGAUUAGCUAGUAGGUGGGGUAAAGGCUCACCUAGGCGACGAGCCCUAGCUGGUCUGAGAGGAUGACGAGCCACACUGGAACGGAAACACGGUCCAGACUCCUACGGGAGGCAUCAGUGGGGAAUAUUGGACAAUGGGCGCAAGCCUGAUACAGCCAGGCCGCGUGUAUGAAGAAGGCCUUCGGGUUUUAAAGUACUUUCAGCGGGGAGGCGUUACCCGCAGAAGAAGCAACGGCUAACUCCGUGCCAGCAGCCGCGGUAAUUC
rnacentral:rRNA from 1 species